UGAGUACGAGCUGCUACGGCAGCGAAGUGGGUGAUGUCAAGCUUCCAAGAAAAGCCCUAUACCCGUUAAGGCAUGAUGGCCUGUACCCGAAACCGACACAGGUGGGGUGGUAGAGAAUACCGAGGGGCGCGAGAUAACUCUCUCUAAGGAACUCGGCAAAAUGGCCCCGUAACUUCGGGAGAAGGGGUGCCACCGCAAGGUGGUCGCAGUGAAGAGGCCCAGGCGACUGUUUACCAAAAACACAGGUCUCCGCUAAGUCGCAAGACGAUGUAUGGGGGCUGACGCCUGCCCAGUGCCGGAAGGUUAAGGAAGCUGGUCAGCGUAAGCGAAGCUAGCGACUGAAGCCCCGGUGAACGGCGGCCGUAACAAUAACGGUCCUAAGGUAGCGAAAUUCCUUGUCGGGUAAGUUCCGACCCGCACGAAAGGCGUAACGAUCUGGGCGCUGUCUCGGAGAGAGGCUCGGCGAAAUAGAAUUGUCUGUGAAGAUGCGGACUACGUGCACCCGGACAGAAAGACCCUAUGAAGCUUUACUGUAGCUUGGUAUUGUGCUCGGGCUCGGAAUGCGCAGGAUAGGUGGGAGGCUAUGAACCAUUGCUUGUGGGUGAUGGUGAGCCACUGGUGAGAUACCACUCUUUCCGAGCUAGAGUUCUAACAGCCACCCGUUAUCCGGGGGCUGGACAGUAUCAGGUGGGCAGUUUGACUGGGGCGGUCGCCUCCUAAAAGGUAACGGAGGCGCGCAAAGGUUUGCUCAGGCUGGUUGGAAAUCAGCCGACGAGUGUAAAAGCAGAAGCAAGCUUGACUGUGAGACCUACAAGUCGAACAGGGAGGAAACUCGGCUUUAGUGAUCCGACGGUUCUGCGUGGAAGGGCCGUCGCUCAACGGAUAAAAGUUACUCUAGGAUAACAGGCUGAUCUCCCCCAAGAGUUCACAUCGACGGGGAGGUUUGGCACCUCGAUGUCGGCUCAUCGCAACCUGGGGCUGAAGUCGGUCCCAAGGGUUGGGCUGUUCGCCCAUUAAAGCGGUACGCGAGCUGGGUUCAGAACGUCGUGAGACAGUUCGGUCCAUAUCCGGUGCAUGCGCAGGAAUAUUGAGAGGAUUUCUCCCUAGUACGAGAGGACCGGGAGGAACGCACCUCUGGUGUACCAGUUAUCGUGCCAACGGUAAACGCUGGGUAGCCAUGUGCGGAGAGGAUAACCGCUGAAAGCAUCUAAGUGGGAAGCCCACCUCAAGAUGAGUAUUCCCAUGGGGUAACCCAGUAAGGUCACGGGAAGAACACCCGUUGAUAGGCUCUACGCGGAAGCGCAGUAAUGUGUGAAGCGGAGGAGUACUAAUAGACCGAGGGCUUGACC
rnacentral:rRNA from 1 species